rnacentral:rRNA from 1 species
GACGAACGCUGGCGGCGUGCUUAACACAUGCAAGUCGAACGGUGAAGCGCCUUCCUUUUUGGUGGGCGUGGAUGAGGGGGGAACGGGUGAGUAACACGUGAGUAACCUGCCUCCUUCUGCUGGAUAACCGCAUGAAAGUGUGGCUAAUACGGGAUAUUCUGGGUCUGUGGCAUGAUGGGUCUGGGAGAGAUAUUGUUUCGGUGGGGGAUGGGCUCGCGGCCUAUCGGCUUGUUGGUGGGGUGAUGGCCUACCAAGGCGGUGACGGGUAGCCGGCCGGAGAGGGUGGACGGCCACACUACGAAGGAGACGUGGCCCAUACUACUAGAGGAGGCAGCAGUGAGGAAUAUUGAACAAGCGGCGCAAUCCUGAUGCAGCGACGCCUCGGGAGAGAUGGCGGCCGUCUGGUUGUGAACCUCUUUCGCCAGUGAAGCAGACCUGCCUCGUUUGUGGGUGGGUUGACGGUACCUGGAUAAGAAGCGCCGGCUAACUACGUG